rnacentral:rRNA from 1 species
UACGUAGGGGGCAAGCGUUGUCCGGAUUUAUUGGGCGUAAAGAGCGUGUAGGCGGCCAUGUAGGUCCGUUGUGAAAACUCGAGGCUCAACCUCGAGACGCCGAUGGAAACCAUGUGGCUAGAGUCCGGAAGAGGAGAGUGGAAUUCCUGGUGUAGCGGUGAAAUGCGCAGAUAUCAGGAGGAACACCGGUGGCGAAGGCGCCACUCUGGGCCGGUACUGACGCUGAGGAGCGAAAGCGUGGGGAGCGAACAGG